GAAAAUUAACAUAACGCCAUAGCAACGUUGCUUUUUGAUCCUUCAAUAUCGGCUCUUCCUAUCAUGCUGAAGCAGAGUUCAGUAAGCAUUGGAUUGUUCACCCACUAAUAGGGAACGUGAGCUGGGUUUAGACCGUCGUGAGACAGGUU
rnacentral:ncRNA from 1 species